rnacentral:rRNA from 1 species
GUAUAGGUAAUAUGCCUUUUACUAAGGGAUAACAGAUGGAAACGUUUGCUAAUACCUUAUACUCCGUUUAUGUAUAAAUGUAAAUGGGAAAGAUUUAUCGGUAAGAGAUUGGCCUGUAUUGUAUCAGUUAGUUGGUGGGGUAAUGGCCUACCAAGACAAUGACGCAUAACUGGUUUGAGAGGAUGAUCAGUCACACUGGAACUGAGACACGGUCCAGACUCCUACGGGAGGCAGCAGUGGGGAAUAUUGCACAAUGGACGGAAGUCUGAUGCAGCAACGCCGCGUGGAGGAUGACACAUUUCGGUGCGUAAACUCCUUUUAUAUAAGAAGAUAAUGACGGUAAUAUAUGAAUAAGCACCGGCUAACUCCGUGCCAGCAGCCGCGGUAAUACGGGGGGUGCAAGCGUUACUCGGAAUCACUGGGCGUAAAGAGCAUGUAGGCGGAUUGAUAAGUUUGAAGUGAAAUCCUAUAGCUUAACUAUAGAACUGCUUUGAAAACUGUUAAUCUAGAAUGUGGGAGAGGUAGAUGGAAUUUCUGGUGUAGGGGUAAAAUCCGUAGAGAUCAGAAGGAAUACCGAUUGCGAAGGCGAUCUACUAGAACACUAUUGACGCUGAGAUGCGAAAGCGUGGGGAGCAAACAGGAUUAGAUACCCUGGUAGUCCACGCCCUAAACGAUGUACACUAGUUGUUGUGA